rnacentral:rRNA from 1 species
CCUACGGGAGGCAGCAGUGGGGAAUAUUGGGCAAUGGGCGCAAGCCUGACCCAGCAACGCCGCGUGAAGGAAGAAGGCUUUCUGGUUGUAAACUUCUUUUAAGAGGGAAGAGCAGAAGACGGUACCUCUUGAAUAAGCCACGGCUAACUACGUGCCAGCAGCCGCCGUAAUACGUAGGUGGCAAGCGGUGUCCGGAUUUACUGGGUGUAAAGGGCGUGCAGCCGGGAAGACAAGGCAGAUGUGAAAUCCCGCGGCUCAACCGCGGAACUGCAUUUGAAACUGUUUUUCUUGAGUACCGGAGAGGUCAGCGGAAUGCCUGGUGUAGCGGUGAAAUGCGUAGAUAUAAGGAAGAACACCAGUGGCGAAGGCGGAUGACUGGACGGCAACUGACGGUGAGGCGCGAAAGCGUGGGGAGCAAACAGGAUUAGAUACCCCAGUAGUC